rnacentral:sRNA from 1 species
AUGCCGGUGACUUCAUCUGCACAGUGUAUCUGGAGGAGAAGAAGGCAGAGACUGAGCAGCAUAUCAAGAUCCCAGCAUCCAUGACUGCUGAGGAGCUCACCCUGGAGAUCCUGGAUCGCCGGAAUGUGGGCAUCAGGGAGAAGGACUAUUGGACCUGCUUUGAGGUCAACGAGAGGGAGGAGGCAGAGCGCCCCCUGCACUUUGCGGAGAAGGUGCUGCCCAUCCUGCACGGGCUGGGCACGGACAGCCACCUGGUGGUGAAGAAGCACCAGGCCAUGGAGGCCAUGCUGCUGUACCUGGGUAGGUGGUGCUUGC